AGAGUUUGAUCCUGGCUCAGAGCGAACGUUAGCGGCGGGCCUAACACAUGCAAGUCGAACGCGAAAGGUCUUCGGACUGAUUGAGUGGCGCACGGGUGAGUAACACGUAGGUAAUCUACCCUUUGGCGGGGGAUAACGUUCCGAAAGGGACGCUAAUACCGCAUAAGACCACGACGUCUUUGGACGAUGUGGGAAAAGGUGGCCUCUUCUUGAAAGCUACCACCGGAGGAUGAGCCUGCGUCCCAUCAGCUAGUUGGUAAGGUAAUGGCUUACCAAGGCGAAGACGGGUAGCUGGUUUGAGAGAAUGAUCAGCCACACUGGCACUGGAACACGGGCCAGACUCCUACGGGAGGCAGCAGUGAGGAAUAUUGGGCAAUGGGCGAAAGCCUGACCCAGCCACGCCGCGUGAGUGAUGAAGGCCUUCGGGUCGUAAAGCUCUGUGGAGAGGGACGAAAACCCUGGUUUCAAAUAGGCUCCAGGCUUGACGGUACCUCUUUAGCAAGCACCGGCUAACUCUGUGCCAGCAGCCGCGGUAAUACAGAGGGUGCAAACGUUGCUCGGAUUUACUGGGCGUAAAGCGCGUGUAGGCGGGUUCGCAAGUCGGACGUGAAAUCCCUGGGCUCAACCCAGGAACUGCGUUCGAAACUGCGAAUCUAGAGUAGUGGAGAGGAAAGUAGAAUUCCCGGUGUAGAGGUGAAAUUCGUAGAUAUCGGGAGGAAUACCAGUGGCGAAGGCGGCUUUCUGGACACUUACUGACGCUGAGACGCGAAAGCGUGGGGAGCAAACAGGAUUAGAUACCCUGGUAGUCCACGCUGUAAACGAUGUGUGCUAGGUGUCGCGGGAUUUGACUUCUGCGGUGCCGUAGCUAACGCGUUAAGCACACCGCCUGGGGAGUACGGCCGCAAGGCUAAAACUCAAAGGAAUUGACGGGGGCCCG
rnacentral:rRNA from 1 species